rnacentral:rRNA from 1 species
UAACUGAAGAGUUUGAUCAUGGCUCAGAUUGAACGCUGGCGGCAGGCCUAAGACAUGCAAGUCGAACGGUAACGACACUAGCUUGCUAGUGGUCGACGAGUGGCGGACGGGUGAGUAACGCGUAGGAAUCUACCUAGUAGUGGGGGAUAGCCAAGGGAAACUUUGGGUAAUACCGCAUACGAUCUAAGGAUGAAAGGGGGCCUCUCUUUGAAGCUCUCGCUAUUAGAUGAGCCUGCGUAAGAUUAGCUUGUUGGUGGGGUAAUGGCCCACCAAGGCGACGAUCUUUAGCUGGUCUGAGAGGAUGAUCAGUCACACUGGAACUGAGACACGGUCCAGACUCCUACGGGAGGCAGCAGUGGGGAAUA